rnacentral:lncRNA from 1 species
GAACCUGGAAGAGUCAGAGAGGUUGUGGCUUUGAGGACAAUUGUUCAAGUGAGAAGAGGGCUGUGCAGAUCUCAAGAUGACAUCAGGAUCCUGAUAUGAAGUUUUCCUGCUUCUGGAGGAGGGAAGCAGAGGGCUAUUUUGCCUCCUCUGGGCCAGGGAUGCAUGGAAUGGCAGAGGUGGGGGCUCCCAGCUAUGGAGACUGGGAGGGCAGUCUGGGUCCCUGGAAGCAGAUCCUGAGACACAGUUCCCUGUGCAAGUGAUUUAUUUCAAAGGUGUGCCCAGUCUUGGUGGCCCACGGUGGGCCUUGGCCUUCAGCCUGCUGACCCAGGACCCUCACUCCUUCCAUAGUGGGGACCAGUGCCUGUCUGAGCCCCAUCAUGAUCCCACUGAGAGUCCCUCCCGCACUGGCCAAGAUGUUGGAAGACCUGGAGUGGACCUGAACCUGUG